UGUUUUGGCAUUUCUGUUCUCCCACUGAUGUUGUGACUGAACUCGCAGAGAGACAAAUCCGGUUUUUCUUUCUGACUUUGUAAUAUUCAGUUAGGCCUGAUAGAAAACUCAUUGCUCUUGGGGGAAAUAAAGUAGGAGCCACGAAAUGUCAUUUUAACAGAGCGUGGGUUUUGUGACUGUAGGAAAGGAUUUAAGGACGCUCCUUCUGUUCGGCUUGCUAUGUAAUGAGCACGGGCUCCACGCACGCACCGACGCCACAGCUCCCGGAUGCUGUGGCUCCCUUAUCUGGGCUUCUGCAGCGCCAGAAGCCCCUUCGGGAUGCUGCGAGGGGCUCCCGGUGAGUGGUGGUACAAACGCUGCGGCCGCCGCCGCCGCCAGUCCUGCUGCUGUUGUUGCUGCUGCAGUCACGUGGGAGCCCCUUUAAGUUUCCAUAGAGAGGCCUCUCCGGUGUCACAUGAUGGACAUGAUAUAAUGAAACAACAUUGUGGAGAGGAAAGCAUUAGGGGAGCCCACGGCUACAAAAACAAGUGAGUGAGAAGAGGUGGGAGGAAGAGAAACUACGCCACCUCCCCUGCAGCCGAGCGCACGCAGCAGCCUGGCGUGACAAGUGGGCGACGCCGGGGGGCAGGGAGCCGGGGGUCCUUGGCCCUGGCCGGGGACCUCGCCGCCCACCAGCGGAGAAUAAGUUUUAGCCGGCAGCCCCAGCCAGCCCUGCACCUGUCUCCAGCGCCUCCAUCGCUCCUCGUGAUCAUCCAAGGGAAAUUCUCGAAGAAUUUGGUUCACAAAUCUACGUGCGCAUCAUUUUCUCCGCCGCGUCUCGUUGGGGAGGAAGGAACGAGAAAGGGAUUCGAGCGGCGGGCGUUCUGCCCAAAGCAUCACCAAGCAUCCCAGGAAUGCUACUUCUGCUCAGUUCUUGGAUGGAGAGGAAUGGAGGAGGAUUUUUGCCUCACUUGUGUUUUCAGGGAAUCUUUUAACUGGUUAGGAGGAUUGGGGUGUUCGCCAUCUGGAGUUUCUCUGCCUCAUGGAGCCCAGCUCAGAGCUGCCAGUUUGCAGGAGAUGAUUGAUUACAUCUUAUUCACAGCCCACCGAAAAAUGAAACAAGUAGAAGUACUUUUAAUGGAACAGAAUAAAGCACUGAGCAGGACAAGUCCAGCCUGCGCUUUGAGGAUCCUCGGGCGACUGCUCAACUAAAGCACUGUGAUUGGGAUGGUGAAAGGAAGAAGGUGGCUAGAACACUUUGUUACUUUAUUUUAUUUAUUUUUGUUUUUUAUUUUAUUUUAAAAUAUCUGGAGCCAAGAAAAAGUGUUAACACUGGUUGGGUGGUAAGUAUAGACUAUUUAUCCUCUUUACUUAUUUCUGUUAUUUAAAUUUCAAACUUAAAGGGCAAAAAAGGUGGGGAGUCAAAGAAAAUUUGCUCAUCAUUUUUCAUGGAUGCUGUUGGUGGGACUAUCACAUGGUAAGCCACUGAAAGAAAGAGUUUGGCCAACUCAG
rnacentral:lncRNA from 1 species